GACGAACGCUGGCGGCGUGCCUAAUACAUGCAAGUAGAACGCACAGUUUAUACCGUAGCUUGCUACACCAUAGACUGUGAGUUGCGAACGGGUGAGUAACGCGUAGGUAACCUGCCUGGUAGCGGGGGAUAACUAUUGGAAACGAUAGCUAAUACCGCAUAAUAUUAAUUAUUGCAUGAUAAUUAAUUGAAAGGUGCAAUUGCACCACUACCAGAUGGACCUGCGUUGUAUUAGCUAGUAGGUGAGGUAACGGCUCACCUAGGCGACGAUACAUAGCCGACCUGGGAGGGUGAUCGGCCACACUGGGACUGAGACACGGCCCAGACUCCUACGGGAGGCAGCAGUAGGGAAUCUUCGGCAAUGGACGGAAGUCUGACCGAGCAACGCCGCGUGAGUGAAGAAGGGUUUCGGAUCGUAAAGCUCUGUUGUAAGAGAAGAACGGGUGUGAGAGUGGAAAGUUCACACUGUGACGGUAUCUUACCAGAAAGGGACGGCUAACUACGUG
rnacentral:rRNA from 1 species